rnacentral:rRNA from 1 species
UUGAACGCUGGCGGCAGGCCUAACACAUGCAAGUCGAGCGGUAACACAGAGAGCUUGCUCUCGGGUGACGAGCGGCGGACGGGUGAGUAAUGUCUGGGAAACUGCCUGAUGGAGGGGGAUAACUACUGGAAACGGUAGCUAAUACCGCAUAACGUCGCAAGACCAAAGUGGGGGACCUUCGGGCCUCAUGCCAUCAGAUGUGCCCAGAUGGGAUUAGCUAGUAGGUGGGGUAACGGCUCACCUAGGCGACGAUCCCUAGCUGGUCUGAGAGGAUGACCAGCCACACUGGAACUGAGACACGGUCCAGACUCCUACGGGAGGCAGCAGUGGGGAAUAUUGCACAAUGGGCGCAAGCCUGAUGCAGCCAUGCCGCGUGUGUGAAGAAGGCCUUCGGGUUGUAAAGCACUUUCAGCGGGGAGGAAGGCGGUGAGGUUAAUAACCUCAUCGAUUGACGUUACCCGCAGAAGAAGCACCGGCUAACUCCGUGCCAGCAGCCGCGGUAAUACGGAGGGUGCAAGCGUUAAUCGGAAUUACUGGGCGUAAAGCGCACGCAGGCGGUCUGUCAAGUCGGAUGUGAAAUCCCCGGGCUCAACCUGGGAACUGCAUUCGAAACUGGCAGGCUAGAGUCUUGUAGAGGGGGGUAGAAUUCCAGGUGUAGCGGUGAAAUGCGUAGAGAUCUGGAGGAAUACCGGUGGCGAAGGCGGCCCCCUGGACAAAGACUGACGCUCAGGUGCGAAAGCGUGGGGAGCAAACAGGAUUAGAUACCCUGGUAGUCCACGCCGUAAACGAUGUCGAUUUGGAGGUUGUGCCCUUGAGGCGUGGCUUCCGGAGCUAACGCGUUAAAUCGACCGCCUGGGGAGUACGGCCGCAAGGUUAAAACUCAAAUGAAUUGACGGGGGCCCGCACAAGCGGUGGAGCAUGUGGUUUAAUUCGAUGCAACGCGAAGAACCUUACCUGGUCUUGACAUCCACAGAACUUUCCAGAGAUGGAUUGGUGCCUUCGGGAACUGUGAAACAGGUGCUGCAUGGCUGUCGUCAGCUCGUGUUGUGAAAUGUUGGGUUAAGUCCCGCAACGAGCGCAACCCUUAUCCUUUGUUGCCAGCGGUUAGGCCGGGAACUCAAAGGAGACUGCCAGUGAUAAACUGGAGGAAGGUGGGGAUGACGUCAAGUCAUCAUGGCCCUUACGACCAGGGCUACACACGUGCUACAAUGGCAUAUACAAAGAGAAGCGACCUCGCGAGAGCAAGCGGACCUCAUAAAGUAUGUCGUAGUCCGGAUUGGAGUCUGCAACUCGACUCCAUGAAGUCGGAAUCGCUAGUAAUCGUAGAUCAGAAUGCUACGGUGAAUACGUUCCCGGGCCUUGUACACACCGCCCGUCACACCAUGGGAGUGGGUUGCAAAAGAAGUAGGUAGCUUAACCUUCGGGAGGGCGCUUACCACUUUGUGAUUCAUGACUGGGGUG